rnacentral:tRNA from 1 species
GUGUGAGUUGGUUCAGUGGAUAGAGCUUAGGGCUUGUGCCCCUAAGGUACCUGGUUCAAAUCUCGCCAGAGACA